rnacentral:rRNA from 1 species
GGGGGAACCCACUAUCUUUAGUCGGAUAGUAUCCUUACGUGAAUACAUAGCGUGAGGAAGGCAGACCCAGGGAACUGAAACAUCUAAGUACCUGGAGGAAGAGAAAGAAAAAUCGAUUUCCUGAGUAGCGGCGAGCGAAACGGAAAGAGCCCAAACCAAGAAGCUUGCUUCUUGGGGUUGUAGGACACUCUAUACGGAGUUACAAAAGAAAGUUAUAAAUGAAGCGGUCUGGAAAGGCCCGCCAAAGACGGUAACAGCCCGGUAGUUGAAAUGGCUUUCCCUCCAGAGUGGAUCCUGAGUACGGCGGAACACGUGAAAUUCCGUCGGAAUCCGGGAGGACCAUCUCCCAAGGCUAAAUACUCCCUAGUGACCGAUAGUGAACCAGUACCGUGAGGGAAAGGUGAAAAGCACCCCGGAAGGGGAGUGAAACAGUUCCUGAAACCGUGUGCCUACAAGUAGUUAGAGCCCGUUAAUGGGUGAUAGCGUGCCUUUUGUAGAAUGAACCGGCGAGUUACGAUUUGUUGCAAGGUUAAGCGGAAAAAGCGGAGCCGUAGCG